rnacentral:rRNA from 1 species
UACAGAGGUCCCAAGCGUUGUUCGGAUUCAUUGGGCGUAAAGAGCUCGUAGGCGGCCACUCAAGUCGAAUGUGAAACCUCGAGGCUUAACCUCGAGCCUGCAUUCGAUACUGGGCGGCUAGAGUCUGGUAGGGGGAUCUGGAAUUCCUGGUGUAGCGGUGGAAUGCGCAGAUAUCAGGAGGAACACCGGUGGCGAAGGCGGGAUCCUGGGCCAGUACUGACGCUGAGGAGCGAAAGCGUGGGGAGCAAACAGG